rnacentral:rRNA from 1 species
AAGAGACAGCAGCAGCCACGGGAAUACGUAGGUGGCAAGCGUUGUCCGGAAUUAUUGGGCGUAAAGCGCGCGCAGGCGGAUAGGUCAGUCUGUCUCAAAAGUUCGGGGCUUAACCCCGUGAUGGGAUGGAAACUGCCAAUCUAGAGUAUCGGAGAGGUAAGUGGAAUUCCUAGUGCAGCGGUGAAAUGCGUAGAUAUUAGGAAGAACACCAGUGGCGAAGGCGACUUUCUGGACGAAAACUGACGCUGAGGCGCGAAAGCCAGGGGAGCGAACAGGAUUAGAUACCCCAGUAGUCCCUGUCUCUUAUACC